rnacentral:rRNA from 1 species
AUGAACGCUGGCGGCGUGCCUAAUACAUGCCAGUCGCGCGAACAGGCGAGGAGCUUGCUCCUCUGACGUUAGCGGCGGACGGGUGAGUAACACGUGGAUAACCUACCUAUAAGACUGGGAUAACUUCGGGAAACCGGAGCUAAUACCGGAUAAUAUAUUGAACCGCAUGGUUCAAUAGUGAAAGACGGUUUUGCUGUCACUUAUAGAUGGAUCCGCGCCGCAUUAGCUAGUUGGUAAGGUAACGGCUUACCAAGGCAACGAUGCGUAGCCGACCUGAGAGGGUGAUCGGCCACACUGGAACUGAGACACGGUCCAGACUCCUACGGGAGGCAGCAGUAGGGAAUCUUCCGCAAUGGGCGAAAGCCUGACGGAGCAACGCCGCGUGAGUGACGAAGGUCUUCGGAUCGUAAAACUCUGUUAUUAGGGAAGAACAAAUGUGUAAGUAACUAUGCACGUCUUGACGGUACCUAAUCAGAAAGCCACGGCUAACUACGUG